CUCCAGCUCAUAGUUCCUUGAUGCAAACAAGAUGGGGGGCUGUUGGCAAGGCAUUUGCACUGAGGAGUUACUGGCUCAGAGUGCUUUCCUUCCUCUUAUCCCACCCACAGGGGCUUGACAGAUUACAGUUGGUGUCUGCUGGGAAGUGAUGCAUGACUCACCUGCUUCCCAAACCUUUCUGAAGGUGGUGGGUGGAGUAAGAGCAGAGCGAGGUAGGAAUGUUUAUAAGGGUGGGAGAUAGGCAAUGAGGCAGCAAAGCAACAUUAAAAGUAGUAUCCAACAAAUAUUUGAGUUUUUUUGCUUUCAGCUAUUAUUUCCCUUUUCAGUGUAGUUAAAGGAUUGUUGGAAGCAGCAAAAAUGUUUCCAGAUGAGACUUGAAAACCGUGGCACAGAAUCAGGAAGCCUGUUAGAAGUUCUUCUGGGCAGGAUCGAUGCGAGUUGAAUUCCUACCAUAAUGGAUCCCUAGUCUACGAAAGUGGCAUUGAGCUUGCUACCAUAGUAUAGACAGUGCCAGGAGCUACCUGGGGACAUUCCUGCAGAAAACAGAGGCAUAAAUACUCUGAGGCUGGAAUGCCCAUUGGUAUGGAGCUGUAAACUUUUCUCAUGCUGAAGUUGUAUCUCUGGCAUAGAGGGAAAAAGAGGGAACUCAAGUGGACAACAAUUUGAAAACAGAUGACCCUGAAAUAGUCUAUCAAGAUCCUGCUUCCUGGAAUAGUUCACAAGCUGCAUCUUUUGGCGCAUCACAGAAGGUUGCCAACACCUGGAGCUCCAAAUGGAGGUUGCAGGCUUAAAUGCCAUAAUACCACUGGCUGUUGCUGCUCAAGAGGAAAUCAAAGCUUCUGUACCAUUGUAAGAACUGACAUAGCAGAAAAGACCAAUAGUUCUUCUAGUCCAGGAUCCCAAAUCCAAGAUUGGCCAAUUCUGAGUGCUUUCCAAGAAGGUUGUAAACUUCCAUGGAGUAUCUCUCAUUGUGCAAUGCUGUCACGUGAAAAGAGUUGGGAAAAUUAUGAUUUGGUCUGUGGAAAAAAAAAAUAGUUUGCUUAUCUAGUAAAUCAUACCCUGGCAGCCUAAUACACUGAGCUGGUCAUGUGACAUGUUUUGCAAUACUGUCCUCCAAUAGGGCAUCAUCCACUCUGAUGUAAUCUCCAGAUUACACUACUACACCAUUUGGAGCCCAGUACUGGUGCACAGUGUGGAGUCUUAUUUAGAAGGACAUCUUGCUGGCAGCAUGUGGCACUUCUGUGUCACAUUCUGCAGUUGUGGCCCACUGCUCUCUGGAUAGAGCUUAAGGGGUUGUUACAAAUGAGCUGUGAUUAGCUUUCCUCAGGGACUGUCCUUCAUUGGCCCGGGCUGCCACAGCUGUCUUCAGGAAUGCUUGAGCUGGAUUCCUCUGGUUAGAAAGAAGGGAGCGUUGGCCAGGUGGUUUCUGCGAGAGCUCCAGGACUCUGGAACGUGCUCCACCUCAUCAAAACUAAUCUGAAUUUGGUGACCUUCUGGGAAUGCUGCAAAAGAUUAAUAUUUGAGAUAGUUUUAGAGAGUGAUGAAGGGGUGCUUCCCAGACCAGGGACUCUGGCUGGGUGCUUCCUGAAGAGAUCAUAUUGGUGUUGCUGAAAUAUAAUUAUACUAUUAAUGGUGUGCUAGAUUGUCUAAGGCAGUGGUCUCCAAACUUUUUUGAUCGUGCACCCCAUCAGUAAAAAAUUUUUGAGCACGCAUG
ensembl:lncRNA